rnacentral:rRNA from 1 species
GAUCUGGCUCAGGAUGAACGCUAGCUACAGGCUUAACACAUGCAAGUCGAGGGGCAGCAUGACGAUAGCUUGCUAUUGUUGAUGGCGACCGGCGCACGGGUGAGUAACGCGUAUCCAACCUUCCCAUAGCUAGGGAAUAACCUUGCGAAAGUAAGACUAAUGCCCUAUAACAUUCUUUGCAGACAUCUAAAGAGAAUUAAAGAUUUAUCGGCUAUGGAUGGGGAUGCG